GUGGGAGCGGGCUUGCUCGCGAAUACGGUAUAUCAGUCAAUAGAUUUGCUGGCUGACACUCCGCAUUCGCGAGCAAGCCCGCUCCCAC
rnacentral:misc_RNA from 1 species